CUCCGUUCCCCAUUCUCUCCACCAUAGCCAGCGCUCCCUGGUCAGGCCGCCCCCUCCCAUUCGUCACCAUCGCCGGCGCUCCCUGGUCAGGCUGCCCUCCCCUUCGUCACCAGCGCGGCCGCUCUCUCACACCCCGUAGGUCAAAGGUUGAAUUUUUAUCCGCCGCUGAUGGUGCUGCUGGGCGAGGAGGCGCUGGAUGCGCGUGCGCCGGCGCUGGAUCUGCUCCGUCUGGCUCCGGCGACCUUACCCCGUGGCUCCGGGACAGGAAGGCUACCCCGACGACAUACAGCAACUGGACUCUAUGCACAGCGAGGAGGAUGAAGACACCCAGCCAUGGAUUUUUAGCAGCACUCACUCAAGGAAAAAGAGACCUCAACACGCCAAUGGAUGCAGCCAGCCUCCAACUCACCACGCACCUGCACCAACUUGAUGUAGGGAGAGGAGGAGUGAGGCUUCUCUCACGGGAUGACGCCCAGCCAUGGGGCAGCAACAAUCCAAGAACUAUGCAGAACAGAAACAGGAGCAAUGAACGGAUGUCAUUGUUAACAUCUUCACAUGCGUGCAAAGGUGCAUGCCGAGGAGUUUGCCGCCGCCGAUGCGCAGUCCGAAGACAGUCGCGUCAGUGUGGGCGACGGCGUCUGAAAGAUGCGUGCAAAGGUGCAUGCCGAGGAGUUUGCCGCCGCCGAUGCGCAGUCCGGAGACAGUCGCGUCAGUGUGGGCGACGGCGUCUGAAAGAUUGAAGAGAAAGCAUGCACCUGUGUUGGCGAGGAGGCUGUCGUCGUGGAUGUCGCGGGCGUCGUCGGCGUCGUCUGGCGUCGUUGGUGCGGGCGUCCUCGGCGCGGGCGUUUCGGUGGAGGGCAACUCUGAAGAGCGGCAGGAGGAUUGGUCGCCGCUAAUUUUGGAGCGGAUGUGGCUGUUUCGGUGUGUUUUUUUCUUUUCUUUUUGUUGGCGUUGGCUCAAGGACGGCAGAGUUUCGUCCGCCCACCUAAAUUGCUUAUCGUACAACGUCAGGGAUACUUUUCUGUAUUGACGGUUAGAUCCCAUUGAGUAGGCUUAUCUUGACCCUCCAAUUGAUGUGUUUUCUUCUGUGUACAGUAAGCGGGGUGCGUUUAGGGGAGUUAACGUUUGCUUAUUUUAUAGUAGUAGAG